rnacentral:tRNA from 1 species
GCCUGGGUAGCUUAGUGGGUUAAAGCCUCUGCCUUCAGCUCAGGUCAUGAUCCCAGGAGUCUUGGGAUGGAACCCCAUUUCGGGCU